GAGUUUGAUCAUGGCUCAGAUUGAACGCUGGCGGCAGGCCUAACACAUGCAAGUCGAGCGGCAGCGGGAAAGUAGCUUGCUACUUUUGCCGGCGAGCGGCGGACGGGUGAGUAAUGCCUGGGGAUCUGCCCAGUCGAGGGGGAUAACAGUUGGAAACGACUGCUAAUACCGCAUACGCCCUACGGGGGAAAGGAGGGGACCUUCGGGCCUUUCGCGAUUGGAUGAACCCAGGUGGGAUUAGCUAGUUGGUGGGGUAAUGGCUCACCAAGGCGACGAUCCCUAGCUGGUCUGAGAGGAUGAUCAGCCACACUGGAACUGAAACACGGUCCAGACUCCUACGGGAGGCAGCAGUGGGGAAUAUUGCAUAAUGGGGGAAACCCUGAUGCGGCCAUGCCGCGUGUGUGAAGAAGGCCUUCGGGUUGUAAAGCACUUUCAGCGAGGAGGAAAGGUUGGCGCCUAAUACGUGUCAACUGUGACGUUACUCGCAGAAGAAGCACCGGCUAACUCCGUGCCAGCAGCCGCGGUAGUACGGAGGGUGCAAGCGUUAAUCGGAAUUACUGGGCGUAAAGCGCACGCAGGCGGUUGGAUAAGUUAGAUGUGAAAGCCCCGGGCUCAACCUGGNAAUUGCAUUUAAAACUGUCCAGCUAGAGUCUUGUAGAGGGGGGUAGAAUUCCAGGUGUAGCGGUGAAAUGCGCAGAGAUCUGGAGGAAUACCGGUGGCGAAGGCGGCCCCCUGGACAAAGACUGACGCUCAGGUGCGAAAAGCGU
rnacentral:rRNA from 1 species